CUCUGUCUCUCUCCCUCUGUCUCUCUAUCUCUCUGUGUGUGAUGGACAGACCUGCUGUGUUCAUGGAGUGAGGAACAUCUGACUCGUUCUGCGGCUCACCUGAGGACACAGAUAAAAAGGGUGAUAAACUCCGUCUGUCCUUGUCUCCGGGGUGGAACUUUAUAUUGUGUACCUUUGGUGUGUAGCUUAUCUUUCACCUCUACACGUGGAUAUGGUGUCCUUCCAAAGAAAAAGUUUUUUGUCGUAUUAAAAACAACAACAACAACGAUGUUACAUCACAGCGCGAUAUGUGACGUUCAGGUAAAAAGAGAGAGAGAGAGAGAGAGAGAGAGAGAGAGAGAGAGAGAGAAGAUGAAGAUGAGCAAUUAAAAAGAAGGACAAGGUGGACAAGAAGAGGUUGAUGAUGCUGAUGAUGAUACUGCUGAUGAUGAUGAUGAUGGUGAUGAUGAUGAUCA
ensembl:lncRNA